AUGAUUACAACGUAUGAUAGUACUAGAAAGCGAUUUAUUAUUCGACCAAAUACAGACGGCAUCAGUGUGCUUAAUGAAGAUGUUUACGACAUAUUCGGGCUACGUAACGAGGGUGAUGAUGUCAGUAGCAUGAUAGCAACAGUACAACUAGAUGCCAAAAAAAUGUCAUAUGAUGAUGAUUUUGUGAGAAGGACCGUACUGGUUCUCAUAGGUACAGUCUUAGCACCACAAUCCACCAAGUUUGUUCCUUAUCGUUAUUACAAAAUGGUGGAGGACGUGAACGCUAUCAAGUCAUACAAUUGGAACGAUUUUACGUUGAGGGUGUGCAUGGAUGCUAUUAAAAAAUCGGUCGAAGAUCUUGAAAAAUUCAAGUGGCCUAUCGGGAACUUGGCUCUUCUUCAGAAACGGAAGGGAAAAAGAGAGACGACUAUGACAACAUGCACGGGCGUGGCACCGGCAAUCUUGAAAAUUGUGUUAGCCAAGAGUACAGACAUGGUAAUGGAAAAGUUGAACACAGAAGGUGUGCUGUACAAACCCAAUAAGAGGGACAGCAAUGAUGAAUUUGUUAAUGUACGUCAAGGAGUUGGGAUGGAGAAUGGCCAGUACAAGUCAUCAAAAUAUUGGCCAGAUAUUGAUUCACCUACCGACGUGGAGCUAGUAACAUCUUUCACGUGUUUCAAUGAUACAGACGUGCCCGUUGAUGACACGGGUGCUCCGACGACGACACCGGGUAAAGGUGACGCUACUGAUCCUUUCAUUAUACACGAUAAUGAAAAGUCCCCAUGUUCGUCAUCAACUGUACGUACAAAAGAGUUUCCGUCUAUGUCCAGAACCCCGCAGAAUGCUGAUAUUUCUGAUGAGUCUAUGGAUGGUUUGUCACCAACAAAGUCUGAAGACAUGUCUGAGAGUUUCCCGACAAAGAGCAAUAUAGGUAAUGGUGAAGGCAGUCAGGACAAUGAAGGUAAACGCAAACGAAAACCGUCGAAAUAUUGUCAAUCCCCGUACGACCUUCUCAUUACCCACAAGAAACGUGUUAAAAAAAUAAUCAAUGCAUAUUCUAAACACCUACAACACCGUGAUUUCUCUGACCGUUUCAUAUCAACAACGUGGUUCCCAAAAUUUAUGUUGGGUAGGGCUAGGGGAAAGACCAAGUCAAUUAAUGAUUUAGAAUCAGAACAAGUUACAAAGAAAGCAAAAGUCGUCGCAAGAGUAAUGGAUGAGUAUUUCAGACGGGACAAGGCAUAUUUUCCUAUGCACGUUAAUGAUAAUCAUUGGAUAACCAUAGUGAUGCACACCGUCAAGGAGGAGUUUCAAGUUCUUGACUCAAAUUCUAAAGGCGCAAUUAGCCAAAGAAUUCGCAAUAUGAUUGGCACCCUGGCCAACUCUAUUCUUGAAUCAAAAAAAUUUCCAGAUGUCUCAUCAUGGCCAAUUAAUGAGUAUAAAAUACCGGCACAACAUGAUGGAGUGUCUUGUGGAGUUUUUGUGAUGUGA
rnacentral:rRNA from 1 species